GACGAACGCUGGCGGCGUGCUUAACACAUGCAAGUCGAACGGAAAGGCCCUGCUUUUGUGGGGUGCUCGAGUGGCGAACGGGUGAGUAACACGUGGGUAACCUGCCCUUGACUUUGGGAUAACUUCAGGAAACUGGGGCUAAUACCGGAUAGGAGCUCCUGCUGCAUGGUGGGGGUUGGAAAGUUUCGGCGGUUGGGGAUGGACUCGCGGCUUAUCAGCUUGUUGGUGGGGUAGUGGCUUACCAAGGCUUUGACGGGUAGCCGGCCUGAGAGGGUGACCGGCCACAUUGGGACUGAGAUACGGCCCAGACUCCUACGGGAGGCAGCAGUGGGGAAUAUUGCACAAUGGGCGGAAGCCUGAUGCAGCAACGCCGCGUGCGGGAUGACGGCCUUCGGGUUGUAAACCGCUUUCGCCUGUGACGAAGCGUGAGUGACGGUAAUGGGUGAAGAAGCACCGGCUAACUACGUG
rnacentral:rRNA from 1 species